rnacentral:ncRNA from 1 species
CUAAGGCAGCCCUGCCUCGGUUCCGGGUUUGCCCCCGGUUAAAAGGGAACGCGGUGCAAAUCCGCGACUGCCCCCGCAACUGUCAGCGGAGAGCGAGGCCGGAUCAACGCCACUGUCCCCCGCAUCGGGGAUGGGAAGGCCCGGCCAAGCGACGACCCGCAAGUCAGGAGACCUGCCGAACGCGAUCACCCUGA